AACCUGGUUGAUCCUGCCAGUAGUCAUAUGCUUGUCUCAAAGAUUAAGCCAUGCAUGUCUAAGUAUAAAUAGUAUACAGUGAAACUGCGAAUGGCUCAUUAAAACAGUUAUAGUUUAUUUGAUAAUUGAAGGUCACAUGGAUAACCGUGGUAAUUCUAGAGCUAAUACAUGCUAUCAAGCCCGACUUUUUGGAAGGGUUGUAUUUAUUAGACUUAAGCCAAUAUUCCUCGUGUCUAUUGCGAUGAUUCAUAAUAACUGAUCGAGUCUCAUUGUAUGAGAUAAAUCAUUCAAGUUUCUGCCCUAUCAGCUUUCGAUGGUAGUGUAUUGGACUACCAUGGCAGUAACGGGUAACGAAGAAUUAGGGUUCGAUUUUGGAGAAGGAGCAUGAGAAACGGCUACUACAUCUAAGGAAGGCAGCAGGCGCGUAAAUUACCCAAUCCUGACUCAGGGAGGUAGUGACAAGAAAUAGCAAACCAGGAGCCAUCGGUUUCAUGGUAUUGCAAUGAGAACAAUUUAAAACACUUAGCGAGGAUCAAGUGGAGGACAAGUCUGGUGCCAGCACCCGCGGUAAUUCCAGCUCCACUAGCGUAUAUUAAAGUUGUUGCAGUUAAAAAGCUCGUAGUUGAACCUCUGUGUAUGAUUAGAUAGGUUCUACCUGUCUAGUUAUAUGCAUCCGCCUGCAAAACUUGGAGGACAUUCAUUUGUCGCCAAGCGGAGCUGGCUUUUUACUUUGAAAAAAUUAGAGUGUUUCAGGCAGGCAAUCGCCCGCAUAUAUUAGCAUGGAAUAAUAGAAUAGGACACUUUUCCAUUUCGUUGGUUAUUGGAAUCGUGUAAUGAUUAAUAGGAACAGUUGUGGGCAUUUGUAUUUAAUUGUCAGAGGUGAAAUUCUUGGAUUUAUUAAAGACAAACUAACGCGAAAGCAUUUGCCAAGGAUGUUUUCAUUAAUCAAGAACUAAAGUUAGGGUAUCAAAGACGAUCAGAUACCGUCCUAGUCUUAACUAUAAACUAUUCCGACUCAGUGUGUGUGAGGCCUUAAUAACCUUAUGCGCAUUGUAUGAGAAAUCAAAGUCUUUAGGUUCUUGGGGAAGUAUGGUUGCAAAGCUGAAACUUAAAGGAAUUGACGGAAGAGCACAACCAGGAGUGGAUUCUGCGGCUUAAUUUGACUCAACACGGGGAAACUUACCAGGUUAAAACAAUAGUGGGAUUGACAGCUUGAGAGCGCUUUCUUGAUUCGUUGGGUAGUGGUGCAUGGCCGUUCUUAGUUGGUGGAGUGAUUUGUCUGCUUAAUUGCGUUAACGAACGAGACCUUAACCUGCUUACUAGAUCAACCAUGUACAAUGGUUGACUCUUCUUAGAGGGACUUUGGCUGUUUUAACUCCAAGGAAGUUUGAGGCAAUAACAGGUCUGUGAUGCCCUUAGAUAUCCUGGGCCGCACGCGUCAUACAAUGAUUAGUUCAAAAAGUAUUUUCCUGUUUCGAAAGAAAUGGGUAAUCUUGUCAGUGCUAUCGUGUUAGGGAUAGAUCUUUGCAAUUAUAGAUCUUGAACGAGGAAUUCCUAGUAAGUGCAGUUCAUCAGACUGUACUGAUUACGUCCCUGCUCUUUGUACACACCGCCCGUCGCUUCUACCGAGCGAGUGUUCAGGUGAGGUAUUUGGAUCAAAGGAGCAAUCCAAUUGAAAAGAAUAUCAAACCUAUGCACUUCGAGGAAGAAGAAGUCGUAACAAGGUUUCUGUAGGUGAACCUGCAGAAGGAUCA
rnacentral:rRNA from 1 species